rnacentral:rRNA from 1 species
UACGUAGGGGGCAAGCGUUGUCCGGAUUUAUUGGGCGUAAAGAGCGUGUAGGCGGCUAGAUAGGUCCGUUGUGAAAACUCGAGGCUCAACCUCGAGACGUCGAUGGAAACCAUCUGGCUAGAGUCCGGAAGAGGAGAGUGGAAUUCCGGGUGUAGCGGUGGAAUGCGUAGAAGAUCCGGAAGAACACCGGUGGCGAAGGCGGUCCGGCUGGG